AAUGAACGUUGGCGGCGUGGAUUAGGCAUGCAAGUCGAGCGAGAACCCGCAAGGGGGACAGCGGCAAACGGGGUAGUAAUGUGUCGGAACGUGCCCUCUGGACGGGGAUAGCGGCGGGAAACUGCCGGUAAUACCCGAUGAACUCGAGAGAGCAAAGGUGUGAUUCCGCCGGAGGAGCGGCCGACAUGGUAUUAGCUAGUUGGCGGGGUAACGGCCCACCAAGGCUUUGAUGCCUAGGGGAUGUGAGAGCAUGAUCCCCACCAUUGGGACUGAGACACUGCCCAGACACCUACGGGUGGCUGCAGUCGAGAAUCUUCGUCAAUGGGCGAAAGCCUGAACGAGCGACGCCGCGUGUGGGAUGAAGGCCCUUGGGUUGUAAACCACUGUCGAGGGGGAUGAAGGCUUGAAGGUACUCCUUCAAGUUUGACAGAGCCCUGGAGGAAGCACGGGCUAAGUUCGUGCCAGCAGCCGCCGUAAAAC
rnacentral:rRNA from 1 species